rnacentral:tRNA from 1 species
GAGGGUAUAGCUCAGUGGUAGAGCACACGCUUGGCAUGCACAAGGUCUUGGGUUUGAAUCCCUAGUACCUCCA